CCUCCUCGAUCUGUUGCGGGCAGAUAAAGUGAAUAUGCGUGUCGAACCCGCCGGCGGUGACGACCUUGCCCUCGCCGGCGAUCACCUCGGUGCCGGGGCCGAUGACGAUGGUGACGCCGGGCUGGAUAUCCGGAUUGCCGGCCUUGCCGAUGGCGGCGAUGCGGUCGCCCUUGAUGCCGAUGUCGGCCUUGACGAUACCCCAGUGGUCGAGGAUCAGCGCAUUGGUGAUGACCGUGUCGACUGCGCCCUGCUUGUUGGUCGCCUGCGACUGGCCCAUGCCGUCGCGG
rnacentral:sRNA from 1 species